GGAUUGUGGCUCAGUGGUAGAGUGCCCGCCUACCCCGUGUGAGGCCCUGGGUUUGAUCCUCAGCACCA
rnacentral:tRNA from 1 species